rnacentral:rRNA from 1 species
AACGAACGCUGGCGGCAUGCCUAACACAUGCAAGUCGAACGAGAUCUUCGGGUCUAGUGGCGCACGGGUGCGUAACGCGUGGGAAUCUGCCCUUUGGUUCGGAAUAACAGUUGGAAACGACUGCUAAUACCGGAUGAUGACGAAAGUCCAAAGAUUUAUCGCCAGAGGAUGAGCCCGCGUAGGAUUAGCUAGUUGGUGUGGUAAAGGCGCACCAAGGCGACGAUCCUUAGCUGGUCUGAGAGGAUGAUCAGCCUCACUGGGACUGAGACACGGCCCAGACUCCUACGGGAGGCAGCAGUGGGGAAUAUUGGACAAGGGGCGAAAGCCUGAUCCAGCAAUGCCGCGUGAGUGAUGAAGGCCUUAGGGUUGUAAAGCUCUUUUACCCGGGAUGAUAAUGACAGUACCGGGAGAAUAAGCUCCGGCUAACUCCGUGCCAGCCGCCGCUGUAA